rnacentral:rRNA from 1 species
AGCAGCCGCGGUAAUUCCAGCUCCAAUAGCGUAUAUUAAAGUUGUUGCAGUUAAAAAGCUCGUAGUUGAACCUUAGGCCCGUGCGGGUGGUCCGUCCUUUGGGCGAGCACUGCGUCGUUGCGGGUCUCACCUUCUGGCGAGCGUGGAUGCCAUUCACUUGGUGUCCGCGGGAACCAGGACCUUUACCUUGAAAAAAUUAGAGUGCUCAAAGCGGGCUCGUACGCUUGAAUACAUUAGCAUGGAAUAAUGAAAUAGGACGACGGUUCUAUUUUGUUGGUUUCCGGGACAGUCGUAAUGAUUAAUAGGGAUAGUUGGGGGCAUUCGUAUUCAAUUGUCAGAGGUGAAAUUCUUGGAUUUAUUGAAGACGAACUACUGCGAAAGCAUUUGCCAAGGAUGUUUUCAUUAAUCAAGAACGAAAGUUGGGGGAUCGAAGACGAUCAGAUACCGUCGUAGUCUCAACCAUAAACUAUGCCGACUGGGAAUCGGGCGAUGUUAUUUUUUUGUGACUCGCUCGGCGCCCCGAG